ACUGCAGUCAAGUAGAAGAGAAGAAUCAGAUUGUACAAAUCCUGUUGGGUUCUGCUAUUGAGAACGCUCGGUUUAGAGGAGAACUGAAACAGGAUAUGGAGAAUAUACAGAUUCAGUUGACGGAGUUAAGAAGAGAGCUAGAGGAGAAAAGGAGAGAAUUUGAAGAAAAAAGAAAAAAGGUUUCACAGUUA